AAUGCCCUUCGGGGCUCCUUGGUGAUUCAUGAUAACUUAACGAAUCGCAUGGCCUUGCGCCGGCGAUGGUUCAUUCAAAUUUCUGCCCUAUCAACUUUCGAUGGUAGGAUAGUGGCCUACCAUGGUAUCAACGGGUAACGGGGAAUUAGGGUUCUAUUCCGGAGAGGGAGCCUGAGAAACGGCUACCACAUCCAAGGAAGGCAGCAGGCGCGCAAAUUACCCAAUCCCGACACGGGGAGGUAGUGACAAUAAAUACUGAUACAGGGCUCUUUUGGGUCUUGUAAUUGGAAUGAGUACAAUUUAAAUACCUUAACGAGGAACAAUUGGAGGGCAAGUCUGGUGCCAGCAGCCGCGGUAAUUCCAGCUCCAAUAGCGUAUAUUAAAGUUGUUGCAGUUAAAAAGCUCGUAGUUGAACCUUGGGCCUGGCUGGCCGGUCCGCCUCACCGCGUGUACUGGUCCGGCCGGGCCUUUCCUUCUGGGGAUCCGCAUGCCCUUCGCUGGGUGUGCCGGGGAACCAGGACUUUUACUUUGAAAAAAUUAGAGUGUUCAAAGCAGGCCUUUGCUCGAAUACAUUAGCAUGGAAUAAUAGAAUAGGACGUGCGGUCCUAUUUUGUUGGUUUCUAGGACCGCCGUAAUGAUUAAUAGGGAUAGUCGGGGGCAUCAGUAUUCAAUUGUCAGAGGUGAAAUUCUUGGAUUUAUUGAAGACUAACUACUGCGAAAGCAUUUGCCAAGGAUGUUUUCAUUAAUCAGUGAACGAAAGUUAGGGGAUCGAAGACGAUCAGAUACCGUCGUAGUCUUAACCGUAAACUAUGCCGACUAGGGAUCGGGCGAUGUUAUCAUUUUGACUCGCU
rnacentral:rRNA from 2 species